UACGAGGGGGGCAAGCGUUGUUCGGAAUUAUUGGGCGUAAAGGGUGCGUAGGCGGUUUGAUAAGUUCUGUGUGAAAUCUAUGGGCUCAACCCAUAGUCUGCACGGAAAACUGUCAGGCUUGAGAAUGGGAGAGGUGAGUGGAAUUUCCGGUGUAGCGGUGAAAUGCGUAGAUAUCGGAAGGAACACCUGUGGCGAAAGCGGCUCACUGGACCAUUUCUGACGCUGAUGCACGAAAGCUAGGGGAGCAAAC
rnacentral:rRNA from 1 species